CAUAGCGACUAUCGUGGCAUAUCAAUAAGCGGAGGAAAAGAAACUAACAAGGAUUCCCUUAGUAACGGCGAGUGAAGCGGGAAGAGCUCAAAUCUGAAAUCUUCAAGGUUCUACCUUGACGAAUUGUAGUUUAUAGAAGUGUUUUCUGUUAGUGGAGUGGCAAAAGUUCUCUGGAAUAGGACAUCAUAGAGGGUGAGAAUCCCGUAUUUGGUCAUUCCUUCUAGCGUUGUGAUACACUUUCAAAGAGUCGGAUUGUUUGGGAAUGCAGUCCAAAAUGGGUGGUAAAUUUCAUCUAAAGCUAAAUAUUGGCGAGAGACCGAUAGCGAACAAGUACCGUGAGGGAAAGAUGAAAAGAACUUUGAAAAGAGAGUUAAACAGUACGUGAAAUUGUCAAAAGGGAAGCGUUUGACACCAGUGUUGUUUUUCCGAAAAUCAAUUACGAAUGUUUUAGUUUUUAAGGAGUCAUGACUUCAUCGGCUUGCUCCUUUCUUUACGAAACUUUCUUAAUGCACUUUUCGGUUAACAAGUCAACAUCAAUUUCUUUUGUUGUAAAAGGGUAUGAGGAAGGUGGCUUUCUUUUCGGAGAAAGUGUUUAUAGCCUUGUAUCCUCUGCAGUCGGAGAGAUUGAGGUCUGCAGCGUAGAUCCUUCGGGGUUAGAUACAUUUGUGCUAAGCUAUAGCUUUUUAUAGACAACUUGUUGACUAUGCCUAGUCAUGUAGCUUACUCGCUUAUGCUAUUUUACCUACGCUUAGGAUGUUGACGAGACUGUCGAUCUC
rnacentral:rRNA from 1 species